GAUGAACGCUGGCGGCGUGCCUAAUACAUGCAAGUAGAACGCUGAAGGAGGAGCUUGCUCUUCUGGAUGAGUUGCGAACGGGUGAGUAACGCGUAGGUAACCUGCCUGGUAGCGGGGGAUAACUAUUGGAAACGAUAGCUAAUGCCGCAUGACAACAGUUAUUGCAUGAUAACUGUUUAAAAGGGGCAACUGCUCCACUACCAGAUGGACCUGCGUUGUAUUAGCUAGUUGGUGAGGUAACGGCUCACCAAGGCGACGAUACAUAGCCGACCUGAGAGGGUGAUCGGCCACACUGGGACUGAGACACGGCCCAGACUCCUACGGGAGGCAGCAGUAGGGAAUCUUCGGCAAUGGACGGAAGUCUGACCGAGCAACGCCGCGUGAGUGAAGAAGGUUUUCGGAUCGUAAAGCUCUGUUGUAAGAGAAGAACGAGUGUGAGAGUGGAAAGUUCACACUGUGACGGUAUCUUACCAGAAAGGGACGGCUAACUACGUG
rnacentral:rRNA from 1 species